CAAGUAAGCAGCAUAUUGUAAGAAGAAAUACUAGAAAAUCAUUGAUUUAAAAAGGCAAACUGGAAAAUCAUGACUGUUUUUUCAGAAACCUGACUAAGGAAAUGCAAGGAAGAAAUCAGUUUUCACCAUCUUUCCAGCAGGAGAAUAGAGGUGUCUAAGUGGAGGAAGGGGAAGGUGGA